rnacentral:rRNA from 1 species
UAAUCUUAUCUGGUAAAGCGAAUGAUUAGAGGCCUUAGGGCCGAAACGACCUUAACCUAUUCUCAAACUUUAAAUGGGUAAGAACCUCACCUUUCUUGAUAUGAAGUUAAGGUUAUGAUAUAUUGUGCCCAGUGGGCCACUUUUGGUAAGAGAACUGGCGCUGUGGGAUGAACCAAACAUGAUGUUACGGUGCCUAAAUUAACAACUCAUACUGAUACCAUGAAAGGCGUUGUUUGCUUAAAACAGUAGGGCGGUGGACAUGGAAGUCGUAAUCCGCUAAGGAGUGUGUAACAACUCACCUGCCGAAGCAACUAGCCCUUAAAAUGGAUGGCGCUCAAGUUGUAUACCUAUACAUCAUCGCUAAAGCAUAUGAUUAAUAAAUUUAAUUUAUUAAUUUGAAGCUUUAGUGAGUAGGAGGGUAUAAUGGUGUGCGUAGAAGUGUUUGGCGUAAGCCUGCAUGGAGCCGCCAUUAGCACAGAUCUUGGUGGUAGUAGCAAAUAAUCGAAUGAGACCUUGGAGGACUGAAGUGGAGAAGGGUUUCGUGUGAACAGUGGUUGAUCACGAGUUAGUCGGUCCUAAGUUCAAGGCGAAAGCCGAAAAUUUUUUAGUUAUCAAUUGAUAUACUAUAAAAAAUAUUGAACGAAAGGGAAUACGGUUCCAAUUCCGUAACCUGUUAAGUAUACGUUUGUUAUUAAAAAUGGGCUUUAUAUGCUCAUCCUGGCAACAGAAACAACCAUAAAGAAGCCGUCGAGAGAUAUCGAAAGAGUUUUCUUUUCUGUUUUAUAGUCGUACUACCAUGGAAGUCUUUCGAAGAGAGAUAUGGUGGAUGGACUAGAAGAGCAUGGCAUUUACUGCUGUGUCGAUAUUUUCUCCUCGGACCUUGAAAAUUUAUGGUGGGGUUACGCAAACUUCUUAACAGGCCGUACCGAUAUCCGCAGCUGGUCUCCAAGGUGAAGAGUCUCUAGUCGAUAGAAUAAUGUAGGUAAGGGAAGUCGGCAAAUUAGAUCCGUAACUUCGGGAUAAGGAUUGGCUCUGAAGAUUGAGAUAGUCGGGCUUGAUUGGGAAACAAUAAUAUGGUUUAUGUACUCGUUCUGGGUAAAUUAGGAUUUAUACAAUUUAUAUCAAAUUGUGUUUAUCUGUUCCCCGGAUAGAAGUUUACGUAACCAAUUGUGGAACUUUCUUGCUAAAAAUUUAUAAAAGGUUUUUUUCAUUAAAAAAAUUUAUUUUAUAAAUUUAUAACGGCUAUCAAUUAACAAUCAAUUCAGAACUGGCACGGACUUGGGGAAUCCGACUGUCUAAUUAAAACAAAGCAUUGUGAUGGCCCUAACGGGUGUUGACACAAUGUGAUUUCUGCCCAGUGCUCUGAAUGUCAAAGUGAAGAAAUUCAAGUAAGCGCGGGUAAACGGCGGGAGUAACUAUGACUCUCUUAAGGUAGCCAAAUGCCUCGUCAUCUAAUUAGUGACGCGCAUGAAUGGAUUAACGAGAUUCCUACUGUCCCUAUCUACUAUCUAGCGAAACCACAGCCAAGGGAACGGGCUUGGAA